AUUGAACGCUGGCGGCAGGCCUAACACCUGCACGUCGAACGAGUGGCGGACGGGUGAGUAAUGUCUGGGAAACUGCCUGAUGGAGGGGGAUAACUACUGGAAACGGUAGCUAAUACCGCAUCCCAUCAGAUGUGCCCAGAUGGGAUUAUCUAGUUGGUGGGGUAAAGGCCUACCAAGGCGACGAUCCGUAAAUGGUCUGAGAGGACGAUCAGUCACACUGGAACUGAGACACGGUCCAGAAGCCUACGGUGGGCAGCAGUGGGGAAUAUUGGACAAUGGGCGAAAGCCUGAUCCAGCCAUGCCGCGUGUGUGAAGAAGGUCUUCGGAUUGUAAAGCACUUUAAGUUGGGAGGCGUUACCAACAGAAUAAGCACCGUCUAACUUCGUGCCAGCCGCCGCGGUAAUUC
rnacentral:rRNA from 1 species